GAUCUUUGUAUAUUGGAGGGCCCUGAACCUUAACUACUGCAGUAGAACCAGGAUUGGUUUUUAGAAUUUCAUGGCAAUACUGCCUCACUCUAGAGUAUUGCUCAUACACAUUGCCAUGAGCUUUCUCAAUGGCUUUUUGUUUGGCUCUGUAUAGCUUUUGCCUAUGUGCAUACACCUUCACUUCUUUUCUCACCAGCUUU
rnacentral:lncRNA from 1 species